rnacentral:rRNA from 1 species
AGAAUAAACAAAUCCUGGCACCUGAGCAAUUUACACAAGGAGGGGACCCAGCCUUCUUCACGGCUCGCGGCAGUGUCUCCCAUUGAUUCUUUCGUGCAACAAGGAGGGGACUCGCCCUUCUUCACGUCUCGUGCAACAAGGGUGAUCGACGCGGACUACCGCUGCCUGGUGGGCGUCGUGCUCUUCAACCACUCGGAGGUGGACUUCACCGUGAAGCCCAGCAACUGCAUCGCACAGAUGAUCGUCCAGGUGAUCGUGACGCCAGAGGUCGCCGAGGUGGAGGACCUCGAUACCAUCGUUUGGGGGGAGGGAGGAUUGGGGUCCACCAGCAUCUGA